rfam:Roseburia inulinivorans CAG:15 genomic scaffold, scf246
CCGAGCAGCCGGGGUGGCAGCGGUACCCUGAACCAGCAAUCCGCUAUAGCUGGGGUGAUAUCAAACUGAGGGUUAUCUCUUUGCGGAGCAGCCCUUCAUAAGUGGCGUUGACGUUUGGGUCUUACGCAACAGGAAUUUACGAACCGGGUCAGGUCAGGAAUGGAGCAGCCCUAAGUAAAAGCUCUUGUGUGCCGUGAGGGUGCCUGGACCGAGUUAACUGUGGAGGUAACGUCCGUGGACUGGACUCGAAGGGCGAUGCUCGG